CUUGAACCUGGGAGGUGGAGGUUGCAGUGAGCCGAGAUCGCGCCACUGCUCUCCAGCCUGGGCAACAAGGGUGAAACUCCACCUCAAAAAAAAAAAAAAAGAGGGACAUUUGGAUAAAGUGAAGAGCAGAACCUACCUAUUAGGGAAGGGAAGUGGAUUGGGUUUCCUACCCUGUCUGUAGACUCCAUGAAGAACCAUGUCUCUCCAGCCAGAAAGAUAUUCUUGCUUAAGUAGCUCCUUACAACCUACUUCUUCAUAAAUUUUGUAGAUUCUUUCUUAAAAAUUGAAAUAUAAUUUACACACCAUAGAAUUCAUCCUUUUAAAAUAUAUAGCUCAGGAUUUGUGGUAAGUUCACAAGGUUAUGCAAUCUCCACCACUAAUUAAUUCAAGAAUAUUUUCAUACUUACCUAGGAGGUGAAAUACCAUCAUCACAAAGGUGAUUUUCCCAGGGUGAGGCUUAUUCAUUGCACUCUGGAUGUGCUGAUCCCUGCAAUUUCCCCAAAUGUGGAGAACUCAACUGCAUAAUCUUUGGCAGUGGGAAACUGUGUUCACACUCUCUUCUGUAACAACAACAACGAAAAAAAUAUAUAUAUAUAUUUAUCAGCCCUAGGAAAUCAUGUGUUUUACUACAUUAGCAGUAACUCUCCAUCUUUUCCUCCCUCUAGCUCCUGGAAACCAAUAAUCUCUUUUCUGUCUCUAUAGAUUUGCAUAUUCUGGAAAUUUCUUUUCUUUUCUUUUCUUUUUUUUUGAAAC
rnacentral:lncRNA from 1 species